GAACAGGGAUAAGCCCAGCACCGAAGCCUGUGGCCAUUUGGUUACUAGGCAAUGUGGUGUUCAGGUCGUUCCGCGGAGGUUCUGCUCCACCCUAAGUCCAUCAAUGAGUACGGUAUUAUGGACAUGGCCCACAGAGGGUGAAAGGCCCGUGGGGGUGGAGAUUCGGUAGGCCAGAACUUCUCUGGGUAGACCUUGGAGUCGGGUUGUUUGUGAAUGCAGCCCAAAGUGGGUGGUAAACUCCAUCCAAGGCUAAAUACUUGCACGAGUCCGAUAGCGAACAAGUACCGUGAGGGAAAGUUGAAAAGUACUUUGAAGAGAGAGUAAACAGUGCGUGAAACCGCUCAGAGGUAAACGGGUGGAGUUGAACUGCAAGCUCUGGGAAUUCAACUGGUGAGUGUGGUUUGAGCUUGGUCAUAUUGGUGGACGUCGGGGUCUGCGUACGAGGUCUUCGCCUUCGGGUGGGGAUGCGCGAUGCACUUAUCAAGUGUUGUGCGCCUCGGUUGUUCCCGGCCAACUCGCUAGUGCACUUUCUCAGAGUGGUCACCACGACCGACGCCGCUGGCUGGCCGCUGUGGUUAAACCGAAUCUGCAUAGUCCCUGUGGCUUUGCUUAGUCGGGAUGGCAGGUAUCUCGUUGACUUGCUCGUGGUUCGCUGCGAGCGUGGUUUUCGAGUAUAAUCCGCUGACCGUGGUGGUUCUGUACAGUGUGUCGGGGACGGCGGCUCGAGGUGUGUGCAUGCGUUGCUGUUUUGCUGACUGGUCCGAGUUUGGUUAUUUUGUAGCCUGUUCAAUCAGGUCUGGUAGUAGCUCGGAUUUGUUCGGCUGGCGGUGGCGUGUGUGGCACUGUUCCAAGGGCCAACAGUCUGUGGUGUAGUGGU
rnacentral:rRNA from 1 species